rnacentral:rRNA from 1 species
UACGAAGGGGGCUAGCGUUGCUCGGAAUCACUGGGCGUAAAGGGUGCGUAGGCGGGUCUUUAAGUCAGGGGUGAAAUCCUGGAGCUCAACUCCAGAACUGCCUUUGAUACUGAAGAUCUUGAGUUCGGGAGAGGUGAGUGGAACUGCGAGUGUAGAGGUGAAAUUCGUAGAUAUUCGGAAGAACACCAGUGGCGAAGGCGGCUCACUGGUCCGGUACUGACGCUGAGGUGCGAAAGCGUGGGGAUCAAACAGG